GACAGAGGUCCCGAGCGUUAGGCGGAAUCACUGGGCUUAAAGCGUGUGUAGGCGGAUUUGUAAGUACCUUGUGAAAUCCCACGGCUUAACCGUGGAACUGCUUGGUAUACUGCUUAUCUUGGGCCAUCUAGGGGCUACCGGAACAAACGGUGGAGCGGUGAAAUGCGUAGAUAUCGUUUGGAACGCCAAUGGUGAAAACAGGUAGCUGGGGAUGUGCCGACGCUGAGACACGAAAGCCAGGGGAGCGAACGGG
rnacentral:rRNA from 1 species